AAUAAGAUUGCCUCGCCACGACAGCGAAGCAAACAUUGCAUUUUCAGACAUGUUAUAACAUUGGCAUGGCAAUUUUUUAUUUUUUUUAUUUUUUAUGGAGUAAGUCAUGCUAUGUAGAUAUGUCUAGUAUAAAUGACCAAUUUACGUGUUGUUUUUUCACUUUUUUGAUGUGGAGGCUGGCUAAGCAGCUCUGGUCAGCUGCCAGAUAAUUAACCUUCUCAUUGCCAAAGGUUUUUAACUAUUCGCCUCUGGGCACAUAGUACAUCAAAUUAUCGAUUCACUUGCAAAAAAGCAGAGAGUAAUAAUUUGCGAAUGUGCAUCCUGCUGGAUGGAUUUGGGUCCGAGUUUUAUUAAUAAAGGUCCUUUGUGGAUCUUCCAAAAUCUAUUCUUUGUAUUGGAUUUGGAUGCGAACAGUGAUUUUAAUCCAGACACUGAAUGCAUUCGGGGCGAUUGCUGCAGAUUCGCUUGGCCUGACCGAAUUCCUACAGCAUUUGGCUUCUGUAAAUAUUAGAAUUGGAAUUUCGCCAUUUUCAGAGAAGUUUGUCCAUCCAUUAGUAAAUAACCCAAUCAGUGAAUAACUCUGACAGACACAAGUACACUCCAGAUGCACACACAUUUUGCAAUUUCAACAUCUUUAGUUCAAAACUCAUCAUUUCAUGAAUUAGGUACAAAGUUUGUAACUGUAACCAAAGCACCAAUAAAUUAUUAUUAUCUCCUAUUUAUUUGUCAUCAUUGUCCAAUUAAAUGUUUGGGCAGUGACAAAAUACAUAACAAUAAAGUAAUUUUAUCUUAAGGCAGUAUUUAUUUAAAGUGUACCUUUUAAGGGACAAAGCAAUUUAAUUUAAAUGAAAUACCUUAACAUACUGUGUUACAUGAUAUAUUUAAAAGUGUUUUCCUCACAUGGGGUUUAAUAUAUUUUCCUAAUUACUCUCUGGCUAGCCAGUGUAAGGUUUAUUCCCUAAACACUGAGCUGUAAUUAAUUGGAAACUAAAUUGCUAAAGUUGGGCUAAAACAGACAGUUAUGACUAUAUCACAGAGUUGGGUAAUUUUGCCAAAGUCUCAUGGAUGGAUUUUGUGGAAGAGUUUUUUUUUUUUUUUAAUUCAAUUUAAAUUCAGUGUUUCAAGAAUAGAACGCAGUCAUUGAAAGGGACCCUCCAGGCCCCUAAAGCACUUGAUCUUGCUGAAAUGAUUUAUUGUGGAGUGUGUCCUAUUUUUUCAUUUUACAAAAAGUGCAUAUUUUAAUAGAAAUUUACACUUUUAGGAAAAUUAACCUGGUUACAUACCCCCAGGCUUUCAGUCAGAUAACUGGUCCUGUUACUUCCUGGUUUGGUUAGCUCAGUGGAGCCAAACUCAGCAAUUGCCCAGAGUACCUGCCUUGCAAAGCUGCAUUGGGGAAUCUGUGAUUGGACAACCACAGAAAGUCUGUGCGUGGUUAGAAGGGGAGGGCUUGCAGAGGCCACCGACAAAAGAACUGCUGAUUUUGCAAGAUGUUUUUAGAUUUACCCCCUAAUGAAAAACAUAUUUUAAUACAUGCAAGUUUUCACUGGUGGUAUAUCUGCU
rnacentral:lncRNA from 1 species